GGGGAUGACUGGCUUUGACAGCAAGACGAAUAAGACUGUAAGCAUGUCGAGCAUGGUGAGAUGGCUCGUAAAUAUACAAUUCACAUAUUUUUACAUGGCGAGUCUAACUACGCUUUAGCUGCCUAAUCUAGGAUUAGAACAGCUUUUGCUCAGCGGAUAGAAGAAUGUUUAUCGCUUCAGUCCCACAGAGCAUCAGAGAAAGGAUGAACUAGCCAAUAGGAUGCCUAUUCCUAAAGGCGAAUUUAAUAGGCUAAGGUUUUGUUUUGGGAAUGUAUUCUUCCCGACUUAACUCGAAAAUUAAUUGACUACUAAGCAUGUAGAAAACUUUCUGAUUCCUUGUUUGGACCAGGGUUCGAUUCCCUGCAUCUCCAC
rnacentral:tmRNA from 1 species